GCAUAUCAAUAAGCGGAGGAAAAGAAAAUAACAAUGAUUCCCUCAGUAACGGCGAGCGAAGAGGGAUAAGCUCAAAUUUUAAAUCUGUUGGGUUCCACUUAACAGAGUUGUAUCGUUGAAGAAACGUUUUCUGCAUCCAGGAUUAGCCUAAAUCCUUUGGGAUAAGGUAUCAUGGAGGGUGAGAAUCCCGUUCAUGGUUAAUCUUAAGGAAGCUCUACGAUACGUUUUCCAAGAGUCGAGUUGUUUGGGAUUGCAGCUCAAAAUGGGAGGUAAAUUUCUCCUAAGGCUAAAUAUUGGCGAGAGACCGAUAGCGAACAAGUACCGUGAGGGAAAGAUGAAAAGAACUUUGAAAAGAGAGUUAAACAGUACGUGAAAUUGUUGAAAGGGAAACGAUUGAAGUCAGUCAUACCAACGGGAAAUCAACCUUUUGAGCUUGGUCUCGUGGGUUUUGAAGAGUUUCAAAGCCUUCGGAUUCGCGGGAUUGGGAUCUCUUGGUGUACUUUUUCGUACGGUUAGUCAACAUCGGUUUUGAAUGUCAUAAAAUGACUGGAGGAAUGUAGCUUCGAUCUCGUAUUGAAGUGUUAUAGCCUUUGGUAGAUGUGAUGUUUGAGACCGAGGAUUGCAACGGAUACCCUUCAGGGCUAUUCGUCUGAUCUCUGAUACGUUGCCUUGAUGUUGAAAGCUUGCUUAUGAUGUUAGGGUAUUACGGUCAAAAGGUUAGAACGAAUUACAUUCGUUAAGGAUGUUGACGUAAUGCUUUAAACGAC
rnacentral:rRNA from 1 species